UGACAACCAGUGCCCUAGUUUCUCUCAGUCUGAGUCUGGCGGUUACAAGCUAAGACAUGUUUUCCCGUCUUCGCAAGCGUUUUGGGAGGGGGAACGUCGAUUGUGGAGAGACUAGAGUGAAGGAGUCUGGCCUCUCGUCUCAAAGUAAUGAUGGACAAAGACAGCACUUUUGGGGAAUGUCGAAGAUCAGCUCCUCGCCAUUCUGACAAGCAAACAAAAGGGAAGGCAAAGGACCUGAAGAAGAUGGAGGAGAAUAAUGAAAGCCUCCUUUAAAAGCAGAGACCAAUUCUUGAAGCUGAUCCCAAGUUGGCAACAGCGUGGUAGAUGAGCGACCAUGCAGCUGAAGCCUGGUGAAAGCAGAAGUGAGGC
ensembl:lncRNA